rnacentral:rRNA from 1 species
UACGUAGGGGGCAAGCGUUGUCCGGAUUUAUUGGGCGUAAAGAGCGUGUAGGCGGCCUGGUAGGUCAGCUGUGAAAACUCGAGGCUCAACCUCGAGACGCCGGUUGAAACCAUCAGGCUAGAGUCCGGAAGAGGAGAGUGGAAUUCCAGGUGUAGCGGUGAAAUGCGCAGAUAUCUGGAAGAACACCCCGUGGCUAAGGCGGCUCUCUAGUACGGUACUGACGCUGAGACGCGAAAGCGUGGGGAGCGAACAGG